UACUACUACUAUCACUACUAUAUAGGAAAAAAAAGAAAGAAAAACACACACAAGAUCAAAAAUGAAAACCUUCCAAAACAUUCUUCCUCCCACCACCCAACUCCAACAAACCACAGUGAGACACAUUUGGACCCUUCAUCACUAUUCAAUAUAAUCCAUACUGAGUCCAUCAGGGGAGAGAGGAGUCUCCCUUGCACCAUAGACCCCCCGGAAACACAGCUGCCACUCCUUGUGUUUCCAUGUCACACAUGGCACCGCCCGGAGAAAAAGGUUUGCCAGUGUGAUCCUCUCCUUUCCAUGCACAGUGCUCUCACUACCGAUGCAUGGGUGGAAAGACUGCUUUUUAGGAUUUUUCCUUUCAAGGAUACUCUGCCAAGAGGGAAAAAAACAACAGUUCAGUUUUUCAUUUUUUGGGACCACAGUCCCCCCCAUUUUCUUCCUCCCCUGGGGCCGAGGGUCUCAGGAACAGAGAUCUUCUCUUCUUCUCUGAAGACGGGGGGCAUCACCACAAACCUCCCCAACUUUUCUCUGUUCGCUCCACUCCUGUGUUUUCUUCAGCUGCUGAAGCAGGUCUCUUGGCUCACCAGCAUCCUCCUAAAAUACAGUCUCUCUCUUGGAGGAGAAAAUCAGUUCAGUCUAUGGCUAACAAGAAAAAGUCCAGCCAGAAGCCACUCCAUCAUCUCCUUCCACCCAGAAUUUCUUCUUCUAACAUCUCGGGUCUCAGGCUGUCUCUCUUCCUCUUUUUCAAACCGGGGAGGAGUACAAUUUCAGAAAGCUUUCAUUUCUCAAGGGAAGGUUAAAAGUCCCGACUCCCUGGCUGGCUCUCUGCCCGGAUCUCCGGCUCCCACCUGGGAGCUGAGCACCUUGGGGCCCUGGGCCCCCCCCCCCGGCUCUCCUCUUUCGCCGUGGUACUGCUGGCAAACCGUCGCUGUCUCUUUCGAGAGAGAGACUCUGGGGGGGGGGGGGGACGGAGACAUCCCAGAUGUUUUCCACCCUUCCAUCUGCAGGGGCCAGCCCGGUUCCAGUCCUUCCACCCUUCGGCCUUACCUCAGCCAGGCCUCGGGCCUUCCCCUCCCCCGCCCAGCGAAGAGCCAGGCAGGGGAGAGUCCCGCACCGCACCCUGACCGGAACCAAAGAGAGCGAG
rnacentral:lncRNA from 1 species